UACGGAGGGUGCAAGCGUUGCUCGGAAUUAUUGGGCGUAAAGGGCAGGUAGGUGGUCUCAUUUGUCUGAUGUGAAAUCCUUGGGCUUAACUUAAGAAGUGCGUCAGAAACGGUGAGACUUGAGUAUCGGAGAGGUGAGUGGAAUUCCCGGUGUAGCGGUGAAAUGCGUAGAGAUCGGGAGGAACACCAGAGGCGAAGGCGGCUCACUGGACGAUUACUGACACUCAACUGCGAAAGCGUGGGGAGCAAACAGG
rnacentral:rRNA from 1 species